rnacentral:lncRNA from 1 species
AGAUGCAUAUUUUCUUAUGGGCCAAAAUGAGGAAGAGCAGCACGAUUCACAAGAGCCAAGACAUGGAAACAACCCAGAUGUCCAUCGACAGAUGAAUGGAUUAAGAAGAUGUGGUACAUAUACACAAUGGAAUACUACUCAGCCAUAAAAAAACUAAAUGAUGCCAUUUGCAGCAACAUGGAUGCAACUAGAGAUUCUCAUACUAAGUGAAUUCACCAGGAAGACUCUAUGGAUGACCAAUAGUAGAAAAAAAAAAAAUACAAGCUUUUCCCACACCUGACAUGUAAGUAUGUCUAAACGAACUCUCUGAACUUGUAGGAAAAUCAAUAACAACUCAUAUGUCCAUCAUGCCACUGUCUGAUGAAUAAUCUUCCAUCAGCUACAUUAGCAGAUUUUUUUAAAUUAGAGGCUGUAAUACGAAUCAACUCUCAUCAAAAAAGUAUUACAACAAAUUGUUGAAAUUUCCCAAAUUGGUAAAGAUAUGAAAUAGAAAAGUCAUGGUACAACUAUAAAUGUAAUAAAUUCAUUGAGUAAUAAAAAAAUUAAUUAAAAAAAGUCUGCUUUUCCCUGGUCAGACAAUUAUGUUUCAACCCUUUUUUCCUCAUAACCUCCACUGGGUAGCAUUACCUUUUAAUUUUUGUGACAACAGAAAAUGAGCUACAAUCUGACUCACUGACAUUGUGAAAAACACUGACUGGCCUGACUUUUGCAGAUAGUUAAAGCAACUCCUUAUGGGAGAAUGAUCUCAACAGCUGUAGGAAGGGAAAUUAGUAUUUAUCAACACUUGAUAUAUAUCUAUGACCUCAUUUGAUUCUCAUAGGACAUGAGAUAUGUAGUUGCUAUCAUUCUGUUUUUCAGCAGUAAACCUGAAGUUUAAAUGUAGGUUUACUGGAAUGUUUACGCCACACAAUAUUGCCUCCCUAAAAAAGAAGGCUUCUUUCUUCUUGACCUGACACUUGAAAUUUGAAUUAGUUGUCAAGAUGCAGAUACCAUCCAGAAGUGCCAACUCAUUCAUUGGUUCAUAAAAUUUAAUGUGCAUCAGAAUCCCUUGGUGUACUUGAUAAAAAAUGCAGAUAUCUGUGCACCCUGUUCCAGGCUUGAUGAAUCAGAAUCACCGUGUGUCAAGUUCAGGAAGCUGCCUUUUUUAACCAGCAAAAUGAGAAACAAAAUAGAGGCCGAUAUACAUGGCAAAGUAGAUAAGCAGAUCAGAGUCUAUUCACUCCAUGGAACAUCUUGUAGUAAUGAUUCUUAUUAGCUGACUCACACAUGACAUUUUGAGAAACAACCACAUUAGUUCAAAUGUAAAUUAGUUGAGACUUAGGAGCUCACUGGUGGCUCAGUGGGUUAAGGAGCUGGCAUUGUCACUGCUAUGGCACAGGUUCACUCCCUGGCCUGGGAAAUUUUGCAUGCUGCUGCAGCAUGCCCCCCCACACCCCGCCACAAAUUACUUGAGCCUUAGAGGAAAUAAGACAUAGAUAUUAACUAGAACUAUGUUUUGUCAAAAAUGAAGUAGAAAGGAGUUCCCGUCUCAGCUCAGUGGUUAACAAACCCAACUAGCAUCCAUGAGGAUGCAGGUUUAAUCCCUAGCCUCACUCAGUGGGUUAAGGAUCUGGUGUUGCCGUGAGCUGCGGUGUAGGUCACAGAUGAGGCUCUAGUUCUGAGUUGCUGUGGCUGUGGCAUAGGCUGGUGGCUCCAUCUCUGAUUGGACCCCUAGCCUGGGAACCUCCAUAUGCCAUGGAAGUGGCCCUAAAAAGGAAAAAAAAA